AGAACGAACGCUGGCGGCAGGCUUAACACAUGCAAGUCGAACGCCCCGCAAGGGGAGUGGCAGACGGGUGAGUAACGCGUGGGAAUCUACCUGGUUCUACGGAAUAACUGAGGGAAACUUCAGCUAAUACCGUAUACGCCCUAAGGGGGAAAGAUUUAUCGGUGCCAGAUGAGCCCGCGUAAGAUUAGCUAGUUGGUGGGGUAAUGGCCUACCAAGGCGACGAUCUUUAGCUGGUCUGAGAGGAUGAUCAGCCACACUGGGACUGAGACACGGCCCAGACUCCUACGGGAGGCAGCAGUGGGGAAUAUUGGACAAUGGGCGAAAGCCUGAUCCAGCCAUGCCGCGUGAAUGAUGAAGGCCUUAGGGUUGUAAAGCUCUUUCAGUGGGGAAGAUAAUGACGGUACCCACAGAAGAAGCCCCGGCUAACUUCGUGCCAGCAGCCGC
rnacentral:rRNA from 1 species